UUAGCCGAAGUACAGGACAGGUAUGAUGUACAAAAAAAUGUCUCCAUUUACUGUGGUUCAUUAUGUCUGUGUUUUGAGCAUGUCAGUACACAUUCAUAUCUUUAUUCACUGUUCCCCCCUUUCUUUCUUUCUUUCCAAUUCCUUCAAAUGCUAUAAUAAAUGCCAAAUUGGGAAAUGUAGAACUAUUACAUGCAUAUCACACUUUCAUAUUUGAAAGCACUGUGGGUAUCCAAAAGUCUAUGCCUCAUGGGCAUCUUUUCAUGCUUGAGUGUAAUAGUAUACUUAGAUGGCAGUUUUGAGAUUAGUUUACCACAUCCUUGGUUCUGAUAGUGCGCCUCUUCUGGUGAAUUUAUUUUAGCUUUAAUCUUUUGGUGAUUACAAAUGGUUGCUCAAUGCUCGCUUGUAGCCCUAUGAUUUAGGUUUGGCUGUUUCUCGUAUAUGUACUGUAUGUCACAAUGCAUAUGCAUGUGCUGUGGAUAGAGAGGAGUGAAAGAGGCUUUGAGGAGGGCAUGCAUAGGCAAUUUCUUCACGGUGUCUGGAUCAAGGCGAACUACAAGUUUGCUUAGGUGUUUGUUAUUUGACCCAUAUGGACUUUUAGGCACACCUUGGUCAAAUGAGAAAACAUAUUCACCUUUAAUAUUUGAAAAAGGUAGUCCCUUUGAAGGUAACGCUAUGAUUUAGGAGGGUCAAAAGAUUGAAUUCCCUUGCAUAUAAAAUUCCUCAAUGCUGUUGUAUUUUUGACAUUGAUUUUUUUUUUUCGUUGUAUGUUGUGCAACAUGGGUUCCACCUUUUACUUGUUAGUGAUGUAGGGAAAAAGAUUCCUAGGUGGAUUCCUUAGUGCGCCAUAGUGCCAUCUGUUCGCUACAUUGUGUUGUGGGAGUGUAGCACAUUUUAUGUAGAUAAAUUUGGCGAUGGAACUUUUUUGCCCUUCUUUUAUAGCUUACAGUAAUUAUGUCUGUACCAUGCAUUUAUCAUUUGCUUCCUAUAACUGGCUAUUAACCUUCAUUUUUCUUUUGGCAAUUCCCUGUGAUACUCAUUUGCUUGAUAACAUUUGAUGGUCAUUCUUUCUAAUCUGAGCUAUAAUGACACAAAUGAUGUGUUACUGUGUUAGUGUUAUGUCCGUUACACUUGGUAUAUCAUGAUAAAUUUGUUUGAUAAAGCAAAAUUAAAAAAAUGAAGCGGACAAUUUAAGAAUUGCUUGGGAGUUGUAAAAUGCUUUUUUAUUGAUGUCCUCUGCUUGUGUUCUGGUACUGAAGACGGAUAAUGUGAUUUCACAAGCUCAAGCAACUCUUGGUGCACUUGUUCUUCAACGAUCUACUUUUGGGGGAAUCAAUUCAAAGCUCAGCAAUGUUAGCAGCCGCCUUCCAACGGUAUAGAAAUUUCGCUUAUAUAGUCGCUGAUGUUUUUAAUUAUUUCUCCAUUGCUGGGUCUUGUCCUAGAUCUGAUAUAUGUAGCCACCAAGAAGGAAGAGUUUGUUUCUGUGAUCUCUAGUGCAUGAACUAUUUAAAACAUGUUUAGAUGCUUGAUGAUCAGUUGAUUCAUUAUUGGUGAUGCCCCACCUUAGUUUAUAGCAAAUGGCUAAUAAGGAAGGAAUUUUAAAAGGACUCUGAAGGUAAUGGCAAGGGAUUUAAUUCGGAAUGCUAGAUGAUUAUUAUGCACUUUUUGAUGUACUACUUUCAUAUUAUGGUACAGGUAAAUCACAUUCUCACUGCAAUAAGGAGGAAAAAGUCGAUGGAUACCAUAAUACUUUCCCUAGUUGCAUCAGUGUGCACUUUUCUGAUGUUCAUUUAUUGGCUGACCAAGUAAGAAUAUUAUGUUGUAUUCCUAGGGGUACUUGUGGUGAACCAACCCUAUCCUUGACUAGGACUGUUCACAUGUCGGAUUGAGUCAAACAUGCUUUUGAUGUUCUUUCUUUGAUUAAGGAGGGUUGUGGUUUUGUGAAGCAUAUGGUGAUAUAUCUUUGGUGGAUAAUACAUUAUAUUUUUAUCUUCGUAACUGUAAUGAUACGUCUUGUAAAGGUGAAUAGAAAAUUUGUUUAGACAGUGUUAAUGGGCGGCUGAAAUUGAGAUAUGGUGUUAUUCUUGAACACUCUGUUUGGCCUUGGAAUAACUAGGGUUAUCAAAGAAGCUGUGAUUUGUGAUGUGUCAUUCAUGAGAGGUGCAUAUGGUUCAAAUUCGUAACAACAUUUGGAUUAUGGACAGGGAUGGUAAUCACAUUUGAUAGAUCAAGAGAUCAAGGUGUAUGAUUUCAGAAAAGAUGGGCUACUAGUGCAGUUAUUGUGUAGCAUAAUGGUUGCUUGCAUUUGAUGUUCUGGGUGCAUCAAUUUGGUUUUGGAAAUAAUCUCAGGACAGUAUUAUUGUAGUCGGAACUUACUGUUCAUUGUUAGAGUUCUCAAAUAGCAUUUUUGUUGAGUGUCAACACCUCAAAAUCAUGGAGUCUACUCUUGUCUUGGCUUCUGCGAAGGAUCAAGGUAAGUGUUGGAUUCUAAUCUUUUUCUUCCUUAAAAUAUGAUAGUCCAUAACAUAUUAUUGAGACAGUGAACACUUAAUGUACACCUGUACUAGUGGUCGAUGCAAAAGAGAGAGAAAGCAAGAACAAAAUAUUACUUAACAGUGCAUUUCAUCCACUAUUUUUGCAUAUAAAUCAAUUGACAUUUUGAUUAUAGAAAAAACGAU
rnacentral:misc_RNA from 1 species